GAAACUAACCAGGAUUCCCCCAGUAACGGCGAGUGAACGGGGAUUAGCCCAGCAUCGAAGCCUAUGGUUAUUUGACUUUAAGGCAAUGUGAUGUUAUGGAUUGUGCCUAGGGUCACUGGUCAACUCGAAGUCCAAUAUUGAAUGUGGCUUUUGUAUUUAGCCCAGAGCGGGUGAUAGGCCCGUGCGAGUUGAUUGUUAGUUAUGUUGAGUGGCCUCUGGAUGCACAGUCUUUGGAGUCGGAUUGCUUGAGAAUGCAGUCCAAAGUUGGUGGUAAACUCCAUCAAAGGCUAAAUACUGGCACGAGUCCGAUAGCAAACAAGUCCCGUGAGGGAAAGUUGAAAAGUACUCUGAAGAGAGAGUAAAUAGUACGUGAAACCACAUGCAGGUAAACGGGUGGAGUCCAGCUGCGUAUUUUGUGGGCUUAGCUGGCAUGUGAAUUUAUGGGUGUUGUAAACUGCCACAUAUUGGUUUGUCGAUAAGGGCAAGUUAGGCCUGGCCUAAUUUAAGUUCUAUCAUGUAGAUUGUAUUAGCCAUAUGUGUGUAUAUAUGUGUGUGUUUGCAUGCCAGUGAUUUUCCACAAGAUUGACAUCACAGUCAAUAUAGCUGCUAGUAUGUGAUGUGUCAAACCGACAAGUGGUGGACCUUGAAGUUCAUUCUUGGCCGGGAUGGCAGGUGAUUUGAGCAUUAUAUGCGCCUUGUGUGUGUGUAUUGUUUAAAUUUAAACUAUGGCUAUGGCCAGCCGACCAUCAUGUUGUUUUUGUUUACAUUUAACUAUGCAGUAUAUUGGUUAUAGUUUGUGUUUGUGCGCAAUUUUUAUUGUGCUGCGUCACCGGGUGGUGUUCAUGUUAGGUUAAGCGUAAAAGCGUGCCUAAUGUGGUGCAUGCCUGUGUGCGUGUGCAAUGGGAUUGUGGACGCGUGAACUGUGGUGCUGUGGUAGACGUUCCAUCUGACCCGUCUUGAAACACGGACCAAGGAGUUUAACUUGUACGCAAGUCAAUGGGCAUUGUCGAAACCCACAGGCGUAAUGAAAGUAAAUGAGGGCGUUUGGUCCUCUAAAGUGUGAUAUUGCAUGUAAUUUAUAAUGCUACACCUAGCACAUGUGAUCGCAACACUGGCCCGUCUCAUAUAAUGUGGUUGUGUGCAUAUGCAAAUAUGCAUGCACAACAUUGGGGCGGAGCAAGAGCGUACAGGUUGAGACCCGAAAGAUGGUGAACUAUGCUUGUGUAGGUUGAAGCCAGAGGAAACUCUGGUGGAGGACCGUAGCGAUUUUGACGUGCAAAUCGAUCGUCAAACGUGAGUAUAGGGGCGAAAGACUAAUCGAACCAUCUAGUAGCUGGUUCCCUCCGAAGUUUCCCUCAGGAUAGCUGAUAUUCAUUUUGCUAAACAGUUUUAUCCGGUAAAGCGAAUGAUUAGAGGUAUUGGGGAAAAAUUUUCCUCAACCUAUUCUCAAACUAUAAAUGGGUGAGAUGCUUGGCUCGCUUAAUUGGAGUCGUGCAUUGAAUGUGAAUGUCAAGUGGGCCAUUUUUGGUAAGCAGAACUGGCGCUGUGGGAUGAACCAAACGUUCAGUUAAGGUGCCUAACAUGGACGCUCAUGAGAAACCACAAAAGGUGUUGAUGCAUAUAGACAGCAGGACGGUGGCCAUAAAAGUUGGAAACCGCUAAGGAGUGUGUAACAACUCACCUGCCGAAUGCAUCAGCCCUGAAAAUGGAUGGCGCUGGAGCGUUAGACCUAUACUGGACUGUCACCACAAGCUGGUAUUUUUUAUUCAAUACAAUAAAGAAUUAAACCAGGCUUGGAGGAAUGGUGACAAGUAGGAGGGUCGCCGUGGUGAGCGUAGAAGCUUAGCAUGUGAAUGCUGGUGGAGCCGCCACGGGUGCAGAUCUUGGUGGUAGUAGCAAUUAUUCAAGUGAGAACCUUGAAGACCGAAGUGGAGAAGGGUUCCAUGGGAACAGUAAUUGACCAUGGGUCAGGCGGUCCUAAAUGAUCUUGGUGAUUCAGUACGGAGAUGAGGGUGUUUUAUUUGUUUAUUACAUAUAUAUAUGUAUAUAUAAUAGCCCUCUGGAGUGAAAGGGAACCAGGUUAAUAUUCCUGGCCCUACCAUGGAGAUUGACUCUUUCGGGAGUUAAGCGCGGUAACGCAAGCUUCCACGGAGACGUUGAUGGGAGUUCUGGGAAGAGUUCUCUUUUCUUUGUUAAGAGUGCAACAGCCCCUGGAAUCGGUUUGUCCGGCGAAAGGGGUCCCGCCUCUGUAAAGCGCCACUCAUCUCGUGGUGUCCGGAACGCUCCUGUCGGCCCUUGAAAAUCCGUGUCAGGCGAUAAUUUUCAUGGUAGUCCGUACCCAUAUCCGCAUCAGGUCUCCAAGGUGAAUAGCCUUUGGUGCUUGAACAAUGUUGGUAAGGGAAGUCGGCAAAUUGGAUCCGUAACCUCGGAAUAAGGAUUGGCUCUGAGGGCCGAGUCUGAUGGGCUAAAGGAAGAAGCAGUUGGUUCUAGCAAGGAAAUG
rnacentral:rRNA from 1 species